rnacentral:misc_RNA from 1 species
UCUCCGUAGGUGAACCUGCGGAGGGAUCAUUACCGAGCUCAUGCCCUUACGGGUAGAUCUCCCACCCUGUGUUAUUAUUACCUUUGUUGCUUUGGCGGGCCGCCAGGCUCCGGUCAGGCUAUCGGCUUCGGCUGGUAAGCGCCCGCCAGAGGACCCUAUAUCCUGAUUAUUAGUGUCGUCUGAGUACUAUAUAAUAGUUAAAACUUUCAACAACGGAUCUUUUGGUUCUG